rnacentral:rRNA from 1 species
UGGGGAAUAUUGGACAAUGGGCGAAAGCCUGAUCCAGCCAUGCCGCGUGUUUGAAGAAGGUCUUCGGAUUGUAAAGCACUUUAAGUUUGGAGGAAGGGCAGUAAGCGAAUACCUUGCUGUUUUGACGUUACCGACAGAAUAAGCACCGGCUAACUCUGUGCCAGCAGCCGCGGUAAUACAGAGGGUGCAAGCGUUAAUCGGAAUUACUGGGCGUAAAGCGCGCGUAGGUGGUUCGUUAAGUUGAAUGUGAAAGCCCCGGGCUCAACCUGGGAACUGCAUCCAGAACUGGCGAGCUAGAGUAGGGCAGAGGGUGGUGGAAUUUCCUGUGUAGCGGUGAAAUGCGUAGAUAUAGGAAGGAACACCAGUGGCGAAGGCGACCACCUGGGCUCAUACUGACACUGAGGUGCGAAAGCGUGGGGAGCAAACAGG